GACGUAGGCAGCGAGCGUUGUUCGGAGUUACUGGGCGUAAAGCGUGCGUAGGCGGUGUCUUAAGUUUGUUGUGAAAUCUCCCGGCUUAACCGGGAGGGUGCGGCGAAUACUGAGAUGCUGGAGUGCCGGAGAGGUAAGCGGAAUUCCUGGUGUAGCGGUGAAAUGCGUAGAUAUCAGGAGGAACACCUGCGGUGUAGACGGCUUACUGGACGGUAACUGACGCUGAGGCACGAAAGCGUGGGUAGCAAACAGG
rnacentral:rRNA from 1 species